UUAGAUUGAAUAGUAUUACUCAAACAGUUAAAGUAACUAAUAACUUGUGAAAGCCUUUGAGCAAAGGUAAUACAAAUAUAAAGUCAGUGCUUGUGCAACUGAGGGAUUUAAGGUACGGAAAUGUACACAAAAAAAAAAAGAAUAGAGGAAAAGGAAUAAACUUUAACAACAGGAACUAAUAUAAUUUCUUCAAAGAAGGAAUUAUACAAGAGCAAAGAAAUUUGUUUUCUUGCAAAGAAAGGAAAUAGAUCCGAUAUCAAGAUGUCACAUCAAUUGACAAUAAAUGAAAGACAUCGCCCGUCCAUCGAGUUAUUCUUAAGAUAUAGAUUAGAUUUAAAGGACAUAUUUGUCAAGAAGUUUUUGUUUUGUAUUCGAUUAUACUAUUUUCAAGAUCGAGGUAGGAAUUCAAACCGAAUUUGUUACCAGUGUUUAGCCUGAUCGGAAAACGAUUCGAGACAAGAUAAGAUCUUAAAGUUAAGACACAAGUUGGUAUUUUGCAUCGAUUUGGAUAAAUUAGCCAAUAAAUAUAGAUGUUCCAUGUGUGAUGAUACUUUAAGUUACAUUAGGGAAAUACAGGGAUGUCAUGCUUACCAGUAUAGGCUGAAUAACUUUUUGUCUUCACUUGACAAAUCUGAGUUGAGGGACUUUUUCUACAAUAUAAAACCUCAACCUUAUUCUUUAUAUACCUUUACACGUUCUGAUAUAGAUGUUUCCAGCGUAUAUAACCAUAGCGCUAACACCAUUAUAAAAGUUAUACUUAGUUUAGUUCACCAUAAAAUAAGGUUAAAACUUAGAAACUACAGAGAGCAUUCCAUAGGAGAUGCAAUUUAUAUUACAAUAGAUUAGGACCGUAAAAUAUUCUAAGUAUUUUAUAAUCACCAUUACUUAUCCAUUAAAUUAAGAAAUAUACAUAUAUAUAUAUUUUAAUAAAAGAUGGAAAUAAAAGUCAAAUAAUGUCAACUCUUGUGAAACUCAUUUUAUUAAAUACAGCCCGUUGCACAUUAGAUACUAUUUAUGUUCAUAAAGACAAUCCAUACGAUAAGUUGUGCCAAACCUGCAUGAUCCAAGAUCCAGACUUUAAUUCAAUUAAUUAUUAUAAAUAUCGUAGACAUAGUGUAGUAAUAGGAAUUACCCCACGUUUAGAAUUUUGCUCCACUUGUAAUAACGUUUUAUCUUAUAUAAGGAAUGUAAGAUCAUGUGUGACUUGUUUUAGUCACUCUGUAAGUUUCUUACAGAUAAGAACUGAACAACAAAUUCAGGAAAUAUUUAACGGAGAACCAGCAGUAAUAGCAAUAGCACAAUUGACGUCUGUCAUCCAAUAAGUGUUAACUUAAGGAUCUCCACGGGUCAAUGGCCGAUAACAGAUGUUCACUGUGUCAACCAGUGAAAUCAUUAUUGAAGCAACAAGCGAAAUGUCAACGAGGAUUCUCGUAUAUAUUAAAAAGAACCAGGAAGGAAAUUUGUGGAAGUUGUAAAGAUAGAUAUCAUCAAAACGAAUCCACCCAACCAAAUCAGUUUCACCUGCUGACCUUAUCGUACAAAACGCUUAUAAAACGUUGCGAAACUUGUUCUACUGUAUUGAAUGAUACAUAUUCAUUCUCCGAGUGUUUCUUAUGCAAGAGUCUAUUUGACCAAUACACGAGAAACAAGGGUGAUACACAAUUAAGAAUCACCUACGAAGAAUUGAAAGAACAUCCGAUUUUAGUAACUAGAUAUAAUAAUAGGACAAUAUCAAUGUCUGACCACUACAGCGAAUCGUAUCUAAAGAUAGAGUCCUUAAGAGAUAACAUUAGAUUAUUAAUCUACUUUCUUCAUGUUUUACUUACAAUAAGUUUCCAUAUUGUUCUUGCCAUGAAAGGAAGGAAAUAAAUAAUGAAAUUGUAAAAGUCAGAGAAUCAAUUUUAUUACCCCAUUACGUAAGAAAUACAUACAUAUCCUUGAAAAACCGACUGCGACGUUUAAUUCUAAGACGGCAGCUCCGCGAUUUUUUUUG